UUUUUUUUUGAAUAUGUGUAUGUGUUCAAUAAAAUCUCGACCCAUUCAGUAUAAAACUAUUAUUUCAGUUGAUAUAACUUAUCAUGUAUUUUUGAAAGCAAACCAAAUUAGAGAUUUUUUUUUCAGACGUUGUGUUUAGUGGAAAUUUUUUUAUUGACGAUGUUGAUAGUAAAGUCAUUAGGUAGAACAAGAUGGAUAUAAAUCCAUACCAGAAAAUUUUGUUCGUUGCCUUCAAAAAAAAUUGCACACCCUUCAUAAAAAGUCUAGCUCCGCCACUGUUUAUAGUAGCGCGAAUUGGCGGAGUCUCGUGCUGAUAACAUGUUAUGAAAUAACUAGCUAAUGAACUAAUAUUAAUAAACGAAAUUGAAAAGAAGAACAAGCAAAGAAUUAAAGAGAGAGUAAUCUAUUACAAUCUCUAUAUAUCUUGAUUUGUGAAUGAAGUAAUGACUAAUUAUAGCCAUUAAGAAGUUAUCCACUUGGCCAAGUGAUGAUACUUCUCAAAUGGGUGGCCCCACAUGACAUCCAUUUAACAUGGCAAGUGAUGACAAUUAAAUGGGUGGUCCCACAUGGCAUCUACUUUAGUUUUACAACAUGUCCAAAUUAGUGGCCUAAUAAGUAAUGAAUUUGAUUUUCAAUAUAUAAAUAUAAUAUUUUGAUUAUUAUAAUAACAUGUUAUUAAAAGUGAAACAAAAACUAUUGGUCCCAGAUAUUCCAUGUUGCCAAAGAAAGUUGUGAAACAAAUAUAGAACCUUCUUGUGGACCAGAAGUGUGGAGCUAUCUAAGAAGGCCCUUAUAUCAUGGAAAAGACUUUAGCUUAUCUAUGAAUGUUAGAGAACUAAAUAUGUUGAAUGUAAGCUUGUGGAACAAAGCUGCUUUGGUGAAGCUGUUGUGGAAUUUGAGUAAUAAAGUUGUGAGUCCAAUUAGAGGCGGAGCUAGGCGGGGUUCAUGGGCUCGAACGAACCCAUUAAGUUUUUCGUAGAUACUAUAUUUAUAUUAGAAAAUUUAAUAAAAACAUAUGUAUAUUUACUUGUAAACCCCACUCCCGGACAAAAUUAAUUGAGAGUUCAGUGGUAAGGAAGGAUGGUGAAAUGCUUUUCAAGGUUCAAAUCCAAUAUUUUUCUCUUCUAUCCUAAAAUUUAGAGCUCCAAACUCGCUCCGCCUCUGAGUCUAAUGGGCUUAUCAAUACUACAUGAGAAGGUCUACACCAAAGACAUGUUGAUCAAAUGGGAGACUGAUGUGAAACUUUUGUGCCCUAUGUGCAAAGGGAGUGUUGAAACUCUCAAACUUUUGUUUCUACAUUUAAAAGGUUAAAUAAAUUAAAAUUUGCUCAAUAUAGAAAUGCUGAAUCUUCUAGGUUACAUACUGUUUCAGAAAAUACGUACCGCUAUAUAUAGAGAGAGAGCUUGAUAAUCUAAUUAUAGUAAUGGUUUAUAAGAAGACGUAAUAAUAUAAGAAAAGUGAGUAAAUUUUAUUUGCGCAAUUUAUUUUUGAAAAAUUGUCUCAAAAUGAUUACCAUUAUUUUAAGAAUUUAUUAUUGGGAAACAUUGAAAAAUUACAAUAAUAAUAUAGUAAUUAUUAAUUAGCAAAUAGUAGUACUUAAAUUAGAUAUAUAUUACUAUUAUUUAUUAAGUACUAUAAUAUUUUAAACAGUAUACAAUUAAUACUUGAGUCAUGUUGCUUGUCCUAAAAAUUUAUUUCAACAAUUUUUUUUUCAAAAUUAAACAAAUCUUCUCAAAUUAAUUAGAGGACAUAAAAUUCAACAAAAUUAAAUCAUUCUAGCAAGUUUUAGAAGGAUGAUUAAAGAACAACAAAAUGAUAAUUAAAUAAGAUAAAAAAAAAAGGCUAAAAAAAGGAAAAUGAAACGUGAGGGAGAGUAGGAAAUGUGAGAUUGUAGCUAUUUUGUUUGGUCUGUUUUCGCUGGAGAUUUUGAGGGAUUAUUUAUAGUUGAAGGAGUGGGUUUUACACUUUGACCUCCAACAAUAAUAUCAAUUGCCAUUACUAGCUAAACAUAUAGAUGACAAGUAGGGGUGUACAAAAUCGAAUUGAAAAUCAAAUCAAACCGCAAAUUGAGUCAAACUGAGAAAAAAAACCCGACUAGUGGUUGGUUUGACUUGGUUUGGUNNNNNNNNNNNNNNNNNNNNNNNNNNNNNNNNNNNNNNNNNNNNNNNNNNNNNNNNNNNNNNNNNNNNNNNNNNNNNNNNNNNNNNNNNNNNNNNNNNNNNNNNNNNNNNNNNNNNNNNNNNNNNNNNNNNNNNNNNNNNNNNNNNNNNNNNNNNNNNNNNNNNNNNNNNNNNNNNNNNNNNNNNNNNNNNNNNNNNNNNNNNNNNNNNNNNNNNNNNNNNNNNNNNNNNNNAUGUUGGUAAUUAUAAUAAAGCUUAAAUCAAAAUUAAAUUAAUACUAAAGCAAAAAAAAUAAUCAAUUCAACACUAAGAAUGACAAUAAUAUUGAAUAUUUGUUCUAUGGUUUUACAUUGGUUUAUUCAAAUACAUAAUCUAAUUUUAAUUUCCUUUAAUAUUUAGUCAUGUAACUAAUACUUAUUAAACUUAUUUUAGCAUGAUUUAGUACUUUUAAAUUAUGAUCAUUUUCAUUAUGACUUGUUAAUUGCAAUAUUUGUUUUACGCGAUUUCAUUAUUAUUAUUAUUAUUUUUUGUUGGAUAUUUUAGUAUCAUUACUCAUAUAAUAUUUUGUGUUAUUUUCUUAAGAAACACCUUAGAUAGUUGUAUUUUGGUAGGACUAAAGAAAUAUUUGAAAUACAAGUAAAUUAUAUGUUUGUAUGAAUACUUUUCUGGAAAAAAAUCCGAAAAUCCGAUAAACCCGAAAAAAUCCGAAGUUGAAAAACCCGAGUUUUAUUGAUUUGGUAUGGUUUAUAGAUUUAAAAAUCCGAUAGAAAUGAUUUGGUUUGAUAUUUGAAAAAUCCGAAUCAACCCGGUCAUGUACACCCUUAAUGACAAGUGGUUGUAUUAGACGAGACCUAAGUGUUAAAAUCUUUUAAAUAACACUUCAAUCCCUCACUAUUUUAAAUUAAAGAUCUUAUAGAAAGAUGAGUAAAAUUUGUUGGAUUUAAAAACAUCAAAAAAUGUAAUAGGUUUGGUGUCUUUUCGACUAUAAAUCAAACUCAGAUUGAUAAUAUUUAACUUAUAGAAAUACGUGUGCUUGGUUAUUCAUGAAAGUUCUAGAGACUAGGCCAAAUAUUAUAAGAGCAGCCUGAUGGCACUUCUCAUACAAUUGCUUAAUGACAUCAUGUCUCAUGAUAGUAGUCGUGACCAACAGCCAUCAACUCUCGGCUUGUUGGUAAGGUGAGAGCUUCAAGCCCGAUUUCACAUUUUAUAUUAUAAAAUUUAUUCUUCGAAAUAGCAAUUGUGAUUUGACAAACACAAUACAUAAACACCGAAGGAAAUACAUCCUUCAUUAAAAGGAUUUUGCUAAAAAAAAUUCUCAGCCUCAAAACCGACUUUGAACUCCAUUUACCGUAGAUAUUAAAAUUUCAUAACUCUUUAAUGUAUUUCUAUUCCCAUGUAUAAUAUUACCCGUCCUAUGUUUGUAAUUGUAAUAAUGUGACAUUGUUCCAUCCAACAGCUGAGAUUUGUAGUGUUUAUUAUUACUCCCCUAUCCAUCUUUACUUUUCCAAGAGAGAGUAUUGAUAAUAAUAUUAUCUCUAUUUUAUUAUUUCACAAAAAGAAACAUGUACUUCAACAGAAAAUAUUCCACACAUCUAGGAAGGAAAACGUUUCAAUUGAUCUUCAACAACUGCACAAGAUGUGCAAAGCAGAGUAAUGUCACAUUUGCAAAUCUCACACAUUGCAAGUAUAAUGUAGGUUCAUUUCAUUUCAAUAAUCCAUCGACCACAUCUCAGUCACAAAUUAGUUCAACCUCAGCUACAUGGAAAUACUCUGUUGUAUUCCAGUCUAUUUAGGUCCAUUUCAUUUCAAUACUAAAUAGUAUGGAUAAUGGAUCUCAUUACAAUUAUGGAGUCGAUAAAUCCAUCAUUUACUCCUACACAGGCAACAAAUUUGUUCCUAAUGAAUGGAUCAUUUGCUCAAUUGUAGGAAACAUCAUAUAGCAUUUCACUGGUUUAACUUCUUAAUCAGUCAGAUAGUACCCAUCCUUGAAGAAGGAUGAUUCACAAGGUUAGCCCGUUGAAGUACCCGUCCUUCAGACAAGACACCUUGUGGAACUAUAUCGGAUAUGUUGUUGCACCUAAUGAGUAGCUACCAAAACUUGAGAACCAAAACUAUCCUAUAUCAAUAACUUGUUUUAGAAAGGUCGAUAAAUAACAAGAAUCUAUAACAUAAGACAAACACCAUCCAGGAUGGCAACUAAAGGUUCUAGUAAGAGUACUUGCGAAAGUUAAGCAUUUUAUGUCCUCUAAAGGUAAGACCACUAAUCAUAAUCCUAGAAGGAAAACUUCUAUUAAAAGCUAAAGGUUCAAUCCCUAAAGUUGUACCAUGAAAUAAUUUUAGCUUUCUUUCAAGAGAAGCCAGCAUCCAUCAUCUAACGAGAAAUACAUUCGUUAAAGCUCUAGAGCAUCAAUCAUCUAACCAUGAAAUACAUCCAUUAAAGCUCUAGAGAUUCCAGUAUCAAUCAUCUAACAAUGAAAGACAUCCGUUAAAGCUCUAGAGAAUCCAGCAUCAAUCAUCUAACAAUUAAAUACAUCCGUUAAAGCUCUAGAGAAUCUAGUAUCAAUCAUUAACUAUGAACAUCCGUUAAAGCUCUAGAGAAUCCAGUUCAGCAUUUAUCGAACUCCUACAGCAGACAAUAGAUGGCUCCAACAUGACCUUAAUCAAGUAGCCUAAGUUCAAUACAGGCCAACUCCUAAAGAGAAGCUUGCACAAGAUUCAAUUCAAAUCACAUUGGAUACACAAGUUCAGAAAAAUCAAUUAAUAGAGUAGCUAAGGAUUGCCAAAAAUAUCGAAUAACUGAGGUAACUCCGAUAAAAACUUCCAAAUGUAUGUGAAAUAACAAAUUCAAGUUUUUCAUCAAUAACUGAGAAAUUUUAGGGACAAAAUAAGAUUCAAAACCCUAGAACAAAAGUCAAUCAAACGACACGAACAAAGUAGGAAAAGGACUACUUGGAUCUUUGUCUCAUCUUUCGGCGCUUCCUCUUCAACCUCCUCAUUCUCUUCUUCUUCCACUGUAAAUAUUAUCACACAAUUUUAAUUUUUCAAUCGAUAAAAAGACAUUAUACAUACAAACAUUGAAUUAUCAGUUAAUGCGACGAACAUAGAAGCAAUAAUGGAUGAUUUAGCUUUCACAUAGUGAAAAAUGGUACCUUAGCUCUCAUGGCGACAGAGAAAUUGAACGUCUGCUAACCUUUGGAAAACCCAAAACCCUAAUCGUAGUGGACAGUGGGGCUGGGGUUCAAUGUAUUUAUAUUUAAUUUAAUUAAUAAUAUCAAGCUUGAGGGCAAGGGCCAAACUUGAAGCGUGACUUAUUGGGCUUUUGCGAUGUUGGGCUUUGAGAAAAAAAAUGCAAUCCCAAUUCCCAGCAAGGCGUAAGCUGCAACUCGUUUGCUUGUCAAACACUCACUAUUCG
rnacentral:lncRNA from 1 species